rnacentral:lncRNA from 1 species
GUGGUCUCUUCUGUCCUUAAAAACUGUGUGUCUAGGAAUGUGCCUAAAGGGAAAACUGACCUUUCCCACUUCUUCCCUGUCUCUUCUGCAGUGACUGUGUUCCCUGCAUCAUCCCUGUCUGUCUCCCUGCUUGGACACCACACAUUCAUCUUCCCCUCCCCGCCCCGUUCCAGCAGAAAUGUUCCCUUCACAGGUCUCGGGACAUGGAUGCAUUGGGAGCCGGUCACGUCUGUUUCCCCUCGACUGGUGCUUUCUGCUGACAGACUCACCCUGGGAAUACAAGCUUGUCUCCAAGCAUAUGGCAUCACCACCGUCCUGAGAACUCCCUCUCAGCCCCACCCUCAUGCCCAGAUCAUGCGAAGAAAGAGCAUCUAUACGUUCCAACAGGGAUGGGAGCAAGUGAUGACAA